CAGCACUCAGAAGAAACCAGCCCUGCUGACACUUCGAGUUCAGACUUUUAGCUUCCAGAACUGUGAGACUAUACGGUUUUGUUGUUUAAGACCCCCGGUUUGUAGUACUUUGUUACAGCAGUCCUAGCCAAUGAAUACAGGUAUAUUAUGAGGACUUUAGUCUUUUACUUCUUUUUUCUUUACAAGUUUUUUAAAUAGAAAAGUAGAAGUAAGAAAAUAAAGCAGAAAAAAAUG
rnacentral:lncRNA from 10 species